GGGGGAUAUUGCACAAUGGAGGAAACUCUGAUGCAGCAACGCCGCGUGAGGGAAGACGGUUUUCGGAUUGUAAACCUCUGUCCUUGGUGAAGAUAAUGACGGUAGCCAAGGAGGAAGCUCCGGCUAACUACGUGCCAGCAGCCGCGGUAAUACGUAGGGAGCAAGCGUUGUCCGGAUUUACUGGGUGUAAAGGGUGCGUAGGCGGCUCUUCAAGUCAGGCGUGAAAUAUAUGGGCUUAACCCAUAGACUGCGUUUGAAACUGUGGAGCUUGAGUGAAGUAGAGGUAGGCGGAAUUCCCGGUGUAGCGGUGAAAUGCGUAGAGAUCGGGAGGAACACCAGUGGCGAAGGCGGCCUACUGGGCUUUAACUGACGCUGAGGCACGAAAGCAUGGGUAGCAAAC
rnacentral:rRNA from 1 species